ACGGAGGGUGCAAGCGUUAUCCGGAUUUAUUGGGUUUAAAGGGUGCGUAGGCGGUUUGAUAAGUCAGCGGUGAAAUAUUUCAGCUUAACUGGAAGGCUGCCGUUGAUACUGCCAAUCUUGAAUUUGGUUGCUGUAGCUGGAAUGUGUGGUGAAGCGGUGAAAAGCAUAGAUAUCACACAGAAUAUCGAUUGCGAAGGCAGGUCACAAAGCUAAUAUUGACGCUGAUGCACGAAAGUGUGGGGAUCAAACAG
rnacentral:rRNA from 1 species